AGAGUUUGAUCCUGGCUCAGAUUGAACGCUGGCGGCAUGCCUUACACAUGCAUAUCGAACGGCAGCAUAGGAGCUUGCUCCUGAUGGCGAGUGGCGAACGGGUGAGUAAUAUAUCGGAACGUGCCCUAGAGUGGGGGAUAACUAGUCGAAAGACUAGCUAAUACCGCAUACGAUCUACGGAUGAAAGUGGGGGAUCGCAAGACCUCAUGCUCCUGGAGCGGCCGAUAUCUGAUUAGCUAGUUGGUGGGGUAAAAGCCUACCAAGGCAACGAUCAGUAGCUGGUCUGAGAGGACGACCAGCCACACUGGGACUGAGACACGGCCCAGACUCCUACGGGAGGCAGCAGUGGGGAAUUUUGGACAAUGGGGGCAACCCUGAUCCAGCAAUGCCGCGUGAGUGAAGAAGGCCUUCGGGUUGUAAAGCUCUUUUGUCAGGGAAGAAACGGUAGUAGCGAAUAACUAUUACUAAUGACGG
rnacentral:rRNA from 1 species